UACGGAGGGUGCAAACGUUAAUCGGAAUUACUGGGCGUAAAGCGCACGUAGGCGGUUCGCUAAGUGAGGUGUGAAAUCCCCGGGCUCAACCUGGGAAUUGCGCUUCAGACUGACGAGCUGGAGUACGGUAGAGGGGGGUGGAAUUCCAUGUGUAGCGGUGAAAUGCGUAGAUAUAUGGAGGAACACCAGUGGCGAAGGCGGCCCCCUGGACCGAUACUGACGCUGAGGUGCGAAAGCGUGGGGAGCAAACAGG
rnacentral:rRNA from 1 species